GGCACGGAUCAUUAUUGCCACCGCUACUCGAUAAAUAUGUGAAUUCAAUGGACAAAAACACGGGAAUUAAUGCAGUUUUAGGCUCCACGCUGCGUGCAAUAAUCCUCUGGAUGCUUCAUGCCUCAGCUCUCAGAUGAUUGGUGUUCAAAUCAAAGAACUUCAGCAACAAGCCUGAAAUGGAGGUGGAGAGUAAAGUUUGAUUUCAUACAGUCUAUGCAAAUGCUUCAGAAGUGGAAGAAAAUGUAUGACAACUUGCAUGAAUUGUGUGUAACUGAGAUAUUGGAUGGAGAUAAUGAGGGAAACACCAAUUAAAAUAUAACAUAGGGCUCUAUGGUUCUCCUUUCACGAGCAGCUUCAAAGAUUUUGGAUAUAUAUUUAUCAUUAAUAUGAUGUUCAGAGAAUUGAGCCUAGCUUUUUUAACUUCAAGAUUUAGGAUUUAGAACUCUGUUCCACUCUGUCUAGGGCAUCAAUUGGUUUCACCAGUAAUGACCUUUUCUUAGAAAAUCUUGCCUUUGGAUUGUCUUUAGACCACUGGGAUAACGAUCCACGAUGACAGUCUGUUGGAAAUGCAGUGGAAGCAAAUUAAAGUUGCCUCUAAA